GAUGAAGAACGCAGCGAAAUGCGAUAAGUAAUGUGAAUUGCAGAAUUCAGUGAAUCAUCGAAUCUUUGAACGCACAUUGCGCCCCCUGGUAUUCCGGGGGGCAUGCCUGUUCGAGCGUCAUUUCACCACUCAAGUCCCGCUUGGUAUUGGGCAACGCGGUCCGCCGCGUGCCUCAAAUCGACCGGCUGGGUCUUCUGUCCCCUAAGCGUUGUGGAAACUUUCGCUAAAGGGUGUUCGGGAGGCUACGCCGUAAAACAACCCCAUUUCUAAGGUUGACCUCGGAUCAGGUAGGGAUACCCGCUGAACUUAAGCAUAUCAAUAAGCGGAGGA
rnacentral:misc_RNA from 1 species